rnacentral:lncRNA from 1 species
ACUCGGAAAACCUGUAAAUGUAUCACUUACGAUUUCACCUUGAAUCUAAAUUCCUUUCUACUUAACGUGCUCUUCCCAUUUGGCAUGGAUUUGUCACGACUGGGUAUAACCCCUUCAAACGCCUAAAACAAAGUUAUGUUAGGAACGGAGGGAGGGCCUCAUCCUAACAUACCUAAAAUGAAAGUCCGAUUAUCUCGAGAUCGGAUCGGGGGAGAGGCCUUACAGCGUCCUAAUGUGCCCCCACAGCCAUGUCAGAAACAGGAGGAGGACCUCGUCCUGACAUGAGCAAAGUCAAAGGCUCGGUUCUUUUAGACCGGAUGGGGGGAGAGGCCUUACAGUGCCCUAACGCGCCCCCACGGCCAUAUCGGGAACGGGAGGAGAACCUCGCCCUGACUUGAGCAAGGUCGAAAGCCCGGACUCCUACGGGAGCCGGGCUCCGUCCGUGACUGCUGCGGCAAGGGAGACUCCGCCCGGACUCCUACGGGAGCCGGGCUCCACCCACG